GUAGGGAAUAUUGGGCAAUGGUCGGAAGACUGACCCAGCCAUGCCGCGUGCAGGAAGACGGCCCUCUGGGUUGUAAACUGCUUUUAUCUGGGAAGAAAAAGGCCAUGCGUGGCAAAUUGCCGGUACCAGAUGAAUAAGCACCGGCUAACUCCGUGCCAGCAGCCGCGGUAAUACGGAGGGUGCGAGCGUUGUCCGGAUUUAUUGGGUUUAAAGGGUGCGUAGGCGGCUGAUUAAGUCAGCGGUGAAAGACUUCGGCUUAACCGGGACAGUGCCGUUGAUACUGGUUGGCUUGAGUGUCGGAGGGGUACAUGGAAUUGAUGGUGUAGCGGUGAAAUGCAUAGAUACCAUCAGGAACACCGAUAGCGAAGGCAUUGUACUGGCCGACAACUGACGCUGAUGCACGAAAGUGUGGGGAUCGAACAGGAUUAGAUACCCGUGUAGUCC
rnacentral:rRNA from 1 species